GACGUAGGGCGCGAGCGUUGUCCGGAUUUAUUGGGCGUAAAGAGCUCGUAGGCGGCUUGUCGCGUCGAAUGUGAAAACCCGGAGCUCAACUCCGGGCCUGCAGUCGAUACGGGCAGACUGGAGUUCGGCAGGGGAGACUGGAAUUCCUGGUGUAGCGGUGAAAUGCGCAGAUAUCAGGAGGAACACCGGUGGCGAAGGCGGGUCUCUGGGCCGAUACUGACGCUGAGGAGCGAAAGCGUGGGGAGCGAACAGG
rnacentral:rRNA from 1 species